GUAGGUGAAAGCGUUGUCCGGAUUUACUGGGCGUAAAGAGCGCGCAGGCGGUCGUUCAAGUCGAGUGUGAAAGCCCCCGGCUCAACUGGGGAGGGUCAUUCGAUACUGAUCGACUGGAAGGCAGGAGAGGGUAGUGGAAUUCCCGGUGUAGUGGUGAAAUGCGUAGAUAUCGGGAGGAACACCAGUGGCGAAGGCGACUACCUGGCCUGUUCUUGACGCUGAGGCGCGAAAGCUAGGGGAGCAAACGGGAUUAGAUACCCCGGUAGUCCUAGCCGUAAACGAUGGACACUAGGUGUUGGUGGUAUCAACCCCGCCAGUGCCGAAGCUAACGCAUUAAGUGUCCCGCCUGGUGAGUACGGCCGCGAUGCUA
rnacentral:rRNA from 1 species